CAGAUUUAUUAUCUCUUACAAACUGUAACAUCCCAUGUUGAAUUUAAUUUCGACAUUGUAAACACAAUCAUAUAACCAUCUUUAUUUUUCUUUCUGCAAUUCUUUUUUAAUUAAAAGCUAUUUUGGCUAAUACAACUCAAAUUUAUAAUAAUCUGAGUUUCUACUUUAGCUAAGGAACACAGAACUAAAGAACAAAAUGCAGUAGGAGGUAACUGGUUAAUUAAAUUAUUUAACAACUGCAUGUUUUAUAACUAAGGCACUUCAUUUUCAGUUUUUAUUUUGUUUAAAAUUUCCUAGGAAUUUACCAAUGUUUAUAAAAAUUUAAAAACAGGUGAAAAUCAUUGCAAAAAAUUAACUUCAGUUUUCUGAGUAAAUAUCACUCUCCAUCUUGUUUUUGUUUUAAAUUUAAAAAAAAAACCCUUACGUUCUGAAACAGUCAGAUACAGUUUUUGGUUUUUGAUUCAUAUUAGUUCACUAAUUUUAAUUUUCCUAGAAUGCUGAUAAUUAUCCAAACUAUCUGUAAAAGCUGGUAAUGUGUACGUCAUAGACUUGGGAUUGUCUACAAUACGGACACCAGAGCUCAAGUCAUUCUGGCCCAGCUUUUGGCCCAGAAGAAAGAAAGCAGCUUGGUAAUCUGGGCGACCCCAGUUACUGAGGCACCAUCUCUCCUGAAGUGGGCCUGGAAGAAGAACAGGUGGAGGAGACAGCAGGAGGAGAUGGCAGCUUCGCCUUCUCCACCUUCUUCCACUUCUGGGUCUGCUCUGGAAGGAGAGAUGGUGGCUCAGUGACCUGGGCAUCCCAAGGUAACCAAAAUUUUGUCACAGUUAUUUUUAGUAAAAGCCACGGACAGGUCGAGGGCGACAAAGAAAAAUUCACACAAGCCUGCAACCUGCCUGAUGUUUACUAAAAAUUAUGGGGAGGGAGGAGGACUCGAAGGGCAGGCGACUGACGCCUGAGCUCCACUAUGUGUGUGUGGGGGGCAUGCUGCUAUCCACCACUGCUGACAGCUCUGGGGCCCUCACUGCACCCUUGGCAGCUCAGAGUUCCAGGGCCCACCAGCUGACAGCUCCAGCUCACUGCCCUGGGGCAUGGGAAUGAACUUUCACAGACGUCUCAAAAUCAUGGAAUCCGUGACCUCAGUGACGAAAUAUUAUCUUUACUCAUGAACCUGAAGCUCUGAAAUGGGUGAUCAUGAAACAUUAGUAUAACUUUUACUUUUUUGGGUAGCACAAGCUAUAGAGGUCAUAUUCAGUAAACAAAUAGUCCUUUGUUGUGUUAUAUUCUCAUUAACCUGUGUUAUUAAAUAAUUCAUAUGGAGAAGUACAAUAAUCUAAACAAUAUAUUAUUGAUACACUGUAAUUUAACUUUGUUAAACACCAAACAUCAAAUCCAAUAGUACAGUAUAUAUGAUAAAUACUAAUUAGUUCAUAAAAUGUAGAUAUUAAAGAGGAUGACAAUUAGACCCAGAAUCUAAGAAUACAAUCUGUAUAAUGUUUAAAGUGUUGCUGUGAAAAGUUCCUAAAAAGGAAGAGGAACGGGAACCAAUAAAGCAAACCCCUUUAUACCUCAAGAGUUCCCCAAUAUGAAUGAUGUCUAGGGUCCUCUGUUAAGCUUAUGUUUUGAAUACAUCUUUUCAAGGAGAUAAAUUGAUACCAUUUAUCAAAACUUUUAUGCUAUUUGUUCCUUAAAUCCAUAUAGCCAAAUACCGCAAGGAUAAAGGAAUUGUGCCAAAUUAUACAACAGACUAAGUUUGAUCUAUAUAGUUUCUCUUACCAUAUGCAGUUAGCUGCCACUCAAAGCCAUUCGCCAUAAGUCAGGGGAAUUUGUUUACUCCCCUUUACAAGGCUGCACAUUUUAAAGUCUGACAACAGAAAUCAAAGCAGUUAUCUAAAGACAGCUAUUUCUUUGGAAAUUAUACCAGCAGGCCAAGUGUGAAAUAUACUGGACAGUACUUUCACACUAUCUUUAAAAAUAUGUACACAUCUUUUUCACAUACAUAUCUCCAAUAUGGAGAUAUGAAGCACCCAUAUUUGCAGAUUUUGAUGAUUCUCAAAUAUAAUAUGUUGACUUUACUGUCAACAAUGAUGUUUCAGAAAGGGAAAGGAAGGUUACUCACCUGUAACUGGAAUUUUCUGAGUAUAUUCUCUGUGCACUCACCCACUUUGGAUGAGAGUUCCCCUUUGUUUUGUAGAUGGUUGAGUUCUCUGAUGCUCUUUAUUGGCAUGCCACCUUACAGAGUCAGACUUUUGACAUGCCACUAUAAAAAGAUCCUGCUAUCUAAUCUGCUGUCUAGUCCUGCAAGCUACUAAUAUAGAGCUAAUGAAAAAACUGUCCCCUUGGAGAUGCUGCUCCUCCCUAUAUUGCUCUUCUCAAUUUUAGUGUCAGGAAGGACCUUCUACUCCCCUCUUAAAAUCCUUCUUUUUGAGUUCAGCUCAUAUCCCUACCUAAACAGGAGAUGCUCUCUCAGACCAUGAACUGAAUCAAGUAAUCCAAUUUAUCAAGAUGGGAUUCUAAAAAACUGACCCACUGCAACCAACUAUUGUGAUACACCAAUCCCCUCUAGGUGUCUAGGAGAUGUGCUCUGAGCACCAUAAGCUUGAAUGCAAGCACUUGCACACUCUGAACACUAGGCUGUACAGGCUCUAUACCUGGGUGGCUCACCAUAAAUAGAGUCCAGAUAACAGAGUAUUUACUUUACUAGGGCUCCCAGAAAAUAAAAGGUGCAAGCAACCUUGGUAUAAUUACCUUUACUGCAACAAUACUCAUCAACUUAAAAUUACUAUGCUAGCUCCUUGGGCAGUCCAGUACCUGGGUAUAAAGAUCCAUAGGGAUCUUCAGGCUCAGUACCAGGGAUAGUUCUUGUCUUUUCCUCUCACAAAGGAAUGAAACAAUGGCCCGCAGACCCAAGUGGUUAGAGCUCAAUUCUUCUGUCCAGUCUUGUUGGCCCAUCUGCAUGGUCCUGGUGUUCACAUGAUAAGUUAACACUUCUGCCUGCAGGCCACUGUGCUGUAUCCUAUUGCUGCAACUCCUUCCCACAACAGGCUGGUUUACUGUUCAGCUCUCAGUUUCUCAGUCACAGCUCUAAGGCUGUUGCCUGCCCAGCCUUGUCUCUGACAGUUAACACCUAGGCUAGAGUUCAUGUGCAGCUUCUUGUUCUCUGCCAAGCCUGAUCCCUUGUGACCUCUUUCCUAUUCUCUUGGCAUUGUGGAGGUCUCUACUGACCAGGUUUUGAAAUAGGUAACAGUCCUUUCCCUUCAGUUCACUCUGGAUGGUUAGAAAGCAUCCAGUAAUGAGCCAGCAAGAUCAAUAUGCUAUAAUCCUCACCAAAAGAAGAGAUUACUUUAACAUGGUUCAAAAGACUGCAGCUUAAAACUGACAAGAAAGGAAGGAUGGGUGGAAGUACGAUCCCUUUCUUGUUUCAUGGUCAUCCUGUGCCCCAGCAUCAGCAGACGACUAGCCAGCUCUCCAUGAAUCAAUAGCAAGUGGUCCAUGACCACAAUUUGGAGACCAUUGCUUUAAAUCCUACUCCCGAAUGCUUUAUUUGUAAGUGGCAUCCAUGUGAGCUCCCACAUUACUUUUCUGAUGGUGCUGAACAAAAACAAAUCAUUUUGAAAGGAGAAAACAUUAUUUGCUCCAUCACUGGUAAACUAUCUGUAACCAAUUAUGAUUCCACAGUAAGGUGAUCUUAAAAAGGGUGCUUUGGUACUCCACAAUCAAUCAAUCAGCAUGUGCCCAGUGUAGUGCAUGCCACACACUGCAGCGUACACCAUUCAUGUUGUUUCUCUAACUUCUAGUUUAAAAUCCUGGAGCUUGGAAUUUUAUAUUUUCUUACCACCUGGUUAAACAUCAGUUAACCUUUUGGCUCUGGCUGAAUGUGUUCCCCAUUAAGACAAUGUUAUGCUAAUUCUGUCUCAAAUAAACAGCAUCCAUUGCUAUUCACUAUCAUUAAGCUAAAUCAGCUCCUUGGGAGACGUCCUAAUAAAGCAAACAUCUGUUCCAAUUAAAGGUGUCACAAAUAAGUGGUUGCCUGGUGUAGUUCUCUUUAGAAAAUGCAAGACAUUCAUAAUCAUUUUAAUGUAAAAAAAUAGAAUCCAGUUAGUGUACUGUCAUGUUGACUGCAUUUUCCAACAGUCUGCACUUGUUAAUUUACUUAAUGAAGUUGCUGAAGUAAAUUGGGAGUAGUCACCACUUUAUCACUCUCAAAUGCAUAAAAACAGAACUGAGCUGAAUUCUUCUCUUAAAUCUUAUUAGAAAACAACUCUAAAAUAUUUUAAAGACACUCAUUCUGUUACUUGGUGCAACAUUUUCCUUUUUGAUAUUACAGAGCAUCUCCUUUUGAAUUAAGUCUUUUCCUCAUUUUCUCUGGUCAGAAGUCACAUAUAUUUAGUUUUCUGAAAUUAGUAUCCAUCCUUUAUUUACUUGGCACCAGAGAAUACUGAAUGAGACAUCCUCCUCAAGGCCCUUCAUUUUCAGUUUUUAUUUAUUUUUACCAUUUUUAUUCCUAGUUUUCACAAAAGCCAUUAUGGGGUUGUUGAUUUUUUUUGUUCUUUAUUUUUUUAAACUGAUUUUCAUUGUAUUUUGGAAGUGCCAGAACUCCCUAGACCUAUCUCCCUGCUCCAGAAGGAGGCAUGGAUGCUUGGCAGCCUGGACCACCCAGGGUACUGAGCCACAUCUCUCCCCCUGGAGCGGGCCCCGAAGGAGAAGAGGUGUGGGAGACAAGGGCGCCAUCUCCUCAUGCUGCCUCUUCCACCUUUUCCACUUCCAGGCUCGCUCCAAGAGAGAUGAAGACUCUGUAACCAAGUUACUGAUAUGCCAUCUCUCCGUCCAAAAGAGGGUGUUGGCUCAGAAGUACCAGAAAGACUCGAGCGUUGGGGUCCAUAUUGCUGUCAAUCCCAUGUCCACCACAUAUAUACUACCAGCUUUAUAGAUAGCAAGGAUAGUUAUCAGCAUGGAAAGCGAAUCUAAGUUAGUGAAUUACUUUUCACGUCAAAAUGGGUCAAAAAACAAAAAAUCAUCUGAUGUUUUACAACAAAGGGAUUUUUGAAAAAGUUAAAAAAAAAUCAGGAGAAGAGAAUGAUAUUUACUUAGAAAACUGUAAAGUUAGUUUUCACACUGAUUUUCAAGUGUUUUUAAUUUUUGUAACAAACACAGAUACAUUCCUGGGAAAUUUUAAACAAAAUAAAAACUGAAAAUGAAGGGCUUUAGGUGUCCUUCACUAGCAAUGUAUUUCACAACAGAAAAUCCUUAUACCCAUCAAAUGUUACUGAAGCCUCAACCAUUUUAAAUCACCUAUAUCUUCUGUUUUUAAUCAAUUGUGGUCAAGGCAUUGAUGACACAGACAGCAUAUCACCAUAAGGUUAUCUUUUAUUAGAGAUCUUAUAUUCCAUUUCCCCAAAAAGAUAUAAAACCUUCCAAGAGAAAAUAUCAAAAACCUUCCAUUUAAAUCAGUUUGUUUCAGAGACAGAAUGAACAAGAAAAUUCAAAGACAUUUAAGAUAAGGGAAUGUAAAAAAAUCUCAGGACAGGUACAACUCUGGUCUGGAAAAUAAUUACAAUGUUUGAAACCAUAUCCUGAACAGCAUUUUCUUUAAAUCCAUAUUUGUGGAAAAUAAGGAUACUUGGGUCUCUUAACUACCAGUGUAGCUAUGAAAAUUAGAAAAAAUGUAAAAGAAUAUGAUUAAUUGGAUGGUGUAUAUAUGGUGAAUGCACAGAAAACCAAAAAUGUCACCAAAACUGCAAUAAUACAAUUCAAGUAUUGAGUAACCAUUCACAGGAGGUAUGGAAAAAAGGCAAGAGCCCAAUCUUGAAUUGAUCACCUAAGCAAAAUCUCUGCUUGCUGACUUUGGUGGAAGUUUUGAUUGAGGUAAGGAGUUCAACAUUGGGCCCCAAAUUGACUCAAAGUCAUAACUUACCAAAACUUGUAACUUAAACAGAAGGCAUUUAAGUUUUUCCCCCUGAUAAAAAAAAUUAAAAUUACUGGAACAAAGCAGAAGUCUGCUGGUUAAGGAGUAUUCAGGCAUUAUGAUUGUACAGCUGGUGACAAAUGAAAAACUGAUACAAUUCAUUGUUUAAUUAUAUUGAAACAGAUCCUUUGGAAACAAGUCCAAUAGGCAAGAAUACUUUAAAAUGUAUUGCAUCAAAAUUUUAAUUUUCUACUUAACAGAAUUUAAGAUAUUUUGAAUAUCCUCUUUGCACAGAAUGCACAGAGUGCUCAGAAGAUUUCUCACUUACAUAUGCAACAAAAAUAGAAAAUGUUGCCACAAUUUUCUGCUGGCAAGUCUAAAGAUUGUAAAUUUCAACUAAAAAGGGGGGAAAAAAUCAAAUACUGUAACCAAGAAAAUUUACAGUACAUGUUUAUUGCAUGAAAACAUCAAUUUACUGUUCUAUAUACCCUCAAAUACAAUUCUCACUUUUUAUAAACGGUUAGUGGUCAAUAUAUCCUUGACAUAAUUCACACCAGAUUCUGCUAAAUAUUCUACUUUUAAGUACAAAAUAUUUAGCAGAUUGAACUAAUUAUGAAUUAUGCAAUCAUGAUAAAGAGAGAUCCAAACCAUGACAGUACAUACAAAAAAAGAUAAAAAUUUAAUUUUAUGUUUGAAGUUGGAUGUAUGGCUACACGAUAUAAAUGGAUAUACCACAGCACCAAAGUUAUCUAAUUAAAAUAGUACAGUGGUCAAUUUUAGAGUUAGCAGAUAGUAUGUCUUUUCCAGUUAAGAGGAUUUAUCAUCUAUUAAUAUUAAGAAAAUCACUGAUAAAUGGAUAAAUAAAGCCUAAGCAAAAUGAAGUCAGAGGUACAAAGAUUAAGGAAGAUCAGUAAAGGGAAUAAUACUCAGAUGCAAAUUAGUAUAUUUUAAUUGUAAACAGUAGCUGUAUUCAGGGAAAUAGAAUUUUCAUACUCACAUGGCUUCAGCACUCAAUGCAAAAUACUUGAUAUGGUGAAAAUGAAGUGAGAGAAGUAAGAAGAUAUUCCUCAAUAAGGUAAACACUGACAGCAUAUGUAAGCAUGAGUAUUAGGUUUGAAGAGUGGCAUUUUUAAAAUAUAGGCACGUGAUUUUCAAUGCACCGUUUACCACAAUCUGUGAAAUGCAAUACUCCUUUUCUUAUUGUAUGAUGGGUUUUGCAAACUAUGUCUUACACACUAUCAAUUCUCUGCAUCAAGUUGCAGUUUCCUUGACAGUGGCUGAAUUAGAAUAUUACAAUAUUCCUUAGUCUUCCAAUAUUUUGUUUUAUGACAUCAUUUCAGUACAUUCAAAUAGUCAAAAUGUUCAGAAAAACACAGCACAAAUUUGGUGCCGGAGGACAUAGAUCAGAGUGUGGCCAGCAUGGUCAAAUAGAAGACACACAGUUUAAGUAUUAUAUAAACUACCCUUUUCCCCAAAACAGUGAUGUGGACAGUAAAAUAGUAA